rnacentral:rRNA from 1 species
AACGAACGCUGGCGGCAGGCCUAACACAUGCAAGUCGAGCGGCAGCGCGGGGCAACCUGGCGGCGAGCGGCGGACGGGUGAGGAAUGCAUCGGAAUCUACCCUGUCGUGGGGGAUAACGUAGGGAAACUUACGCUAAUACCGCAUACGACCGAGAGGUGAAAGUGGGGGACCGCAAGGCCUCACGCGAUUGGAUGAGCCGAUGCCGGAUUAGCUAGUUGGUGGGGUAAAGGCCCACCAAGGCGACGAUCCGUAGCUGGUCUGAGAGGAUGAUCAGCCACACUGGGACUGAGACACGGCCCAGACUCCUACGGGAGGCAGCAGUGGGGAAUAUUGGACAAUGGGCGCAAGCCUGAUCCAGCCAUGCCGCGUGUGUGAAGAAGGCCUUCGGGUUGUAAAGCACUUUUGUUCGGGAAGAAAUCGUGCGGAUUAAUACUUCGUACGGAUGACGGUACCGAAAGAAUAAGCACCGGCUAACUUCGUGC